rnacentral:rRNA from 1 species
CCUUAUUGGGCCAACCCUUCUCUGUAGCAAAAGAGUGGGAAGAUUUUAAAGUAGAGGUGAUAUACCUAUCGAGCCUAGAGAUAGCUGGUUAUUCAAGAAAAGGAUUUCAGUCCACCUUUAAGUUUUUAUAAUAAAUAAAUUCCCAUAUAAUAAACGCAUAAAUACUAAAUAAACUUAAAAGCCACUCAAAUAAGGUACAGCCUAUUUGAAUUAGGAAACAGCCUCCAAUGUUGGGUAAUGACCCCCCCCCCCCCCAGGACCAAGUGGGCCUAAAAGCGGCCCCCUUUCAAAAAGGGCCCAAGCUUUAUCAUAAAUUAUAUUUAAUUCCCCAACCAAAACAUAACCCUCACCGGCUACGGAAUAUCCCCAUAAAUGUUUGAGAGCCUUCAGGCUAAAACAAGUAACAGAAAAAGAACCUCUCCAAAAUUGUAAACCCAGGCCAAAAUGAACAAUCACCGGAACCCCCCGCCCAGGCUUAUAGAAUCACCCCUCAGGAAAACGGUCCUUUAAAAGCGUUACCUUUAAACUAAA